UACGGGGGGGGUAAGCGUUGUUCGGAAUUACUGGGCGUAAAGGGCUCGUAGGCGGCCAACUAAGUCAUACGUGAAAUCCCUCAGCUUAACUGGGGAACUGCGUGUGAUACUGGAUGGCUUGGAUUUGGGAGAGGGAUGCGGAAUUCCCGGUGUAGCGGUGAAAUGUGUAGAGAUCGGGAGGAACACCGGUGGCGAAGGCGGGUCUCUGGGCAACAACUGACGCUGAGGAGCGAAAGCGUGGGGAGCGAACAGG
rnacentral:rRNA from 1 species